rnacentral:tRNA from 1 species
UAGGUAGAUGCCCGCUGGUUUGGGCGCUUAGCUGUUAACUAAGAUUUUAAAGGAUCGAGGCCUUUCCACCUAG